UACAGAGGUCUCAAGCGUUGUUCGGAUUCAUUGGGCGUAAGGGUAGGCGUGUGAGCGGCGCGGUAAGUCGGGUGUGAAAUCUUGGAGCUUAACUCCGAAACUGCAUUCGAUACUGCCGUGCUUGAGGACUGGAGAGGAGACUGGAAUUUACGGUGUAGCGGUGAAAUGCGUAGAUAUCGUAAGGAAGACCAGUGGCGAAGGCGGGGUCUCUGGACAGUUCCUGACGCUGAGGCACGAAGGCCAGGGGAGCAAACGGG
rnacentral:rRNA from 1 species